rnacentral:rRNA from 1 species
AGAGUUUGAUCCUGGCUCAGGAUGAACGCUAGCUACAGGCUUAACACAUGCAAGUCGAGGGGGAAACGACAUCGAAAGCUUGCUUUUGAUGGGCGUCGACCGGCGCACGGGUGAGUAACGCGUAUCCAACCUGCCCAUCACUUGGGGAUAACCUUGCGAAAGUAAGACUAAUACCCAAUGACGUCUCUAGAAGACAUCUGAAAGAGAUUAAAGAUUUAUCGGUGAUGGAUGGGGAUGCGUCUGAUUAGCUUGUUGGCGGGGUAACGGCCCACCAAGGCGACGAUCAGUAGGGGUUCUGAGAGGAAGGUCCCCCACAUUGGAACUGGGACACGGUACCAACUCCUACGGGAGGCA